rnacentral:rRNA from 1 species
UAAGAGGUCAUGCCUGCCCAAUGACCAUGUGUUCAAUGGCCGCGGUAUUUUAACUGCGCGAAGGUAGCGUAAUCAUUUGUCUUUUAAAUGCAGACCUGUAUGAAUGGCGUGACGAGGGCUUAACUGUCUCCUUUUUCCAGUCAAUGAAAUUGAUCUCCCCGUGCAGAAGCGGGGAUACCCCCAUAAGACGAGAAGACCCUGUGGAGCUUUAGACACUAAACAGACAAUAGUACAUCCGCACAAAGAUUCAAACCUAAUGAACUCCUGCCAUUAUGUCUUUGGUUGGGGCGACCCCGGAGAUUCACAAACCCCCCGUAUGGACUAGGAGCAAAACUUCAUCCUUUCUUUUUCACCACCCAAAACCAAGAGACACCGCUCUAAUUAACAGAACUUCUGACCUAUGAGGAUCCGGCUUAUGCCGAUCAACGGACCAAGUUACCCCAGGGAUAACAGCGCAAUCCUCUUCUAGAGUCCCUAUCGACAAGAGGGUUUACGACCUCGAUGUUGGAUCAGGGCAUCCUAAUGGUGCAGCCGCUAUUAAGGGUUCGUUUGUUCAACGAUUAAAGCCC